CAGUGGAUACUGAUAGUUCUCGUUUGCCUGAAGCAUUGGCUGAGCUCAGUGAGCUAAGAAAAGUAUUGAGCCAGAGGAACACAAAGUUCUUGCUCCAGUUGCCCCAGCAGGUCUCUGAGCAAGCCAUUCAAUGACCUGUUGUACCUCACUGUGAAAGAAGAGUCGCAGGACAACCUUUAAACCAGCCUCCCUGGGAGGUGGAGGGGAAUCCUCAUUAAGACAUAAACUCUGUGAUAACUUGGGGACAUCCCAGAAGCCACCCCAGCUGCUCAGGUGUGAGCUUCAGGAAGAAGAAUUGUAUUAAAUUGUAUACAUAAUAUGGCCACAUUUUAGAAUUAAAAUAGAGAAAAUUAGGGGGAAACACACAUGAUCCCAUUAACCUAACACGUUAUUAUUAUUACCACUUUGAUAAUCAUAUUUUUCCCAUCUUUUUCCUAAAUGUGUUUUGGUUGUUUUUUUUUUUUUCUUUUUUAGAAACGGACUUUCACUGUGUUGCCCAGACUGGAGUGCAGUGGCUAUUGACAGUGUCUCACUCAUCACCAGGUGCCAGGCUAGAGUGCAGUGGCGUGACCUCGGCUCACUGCAACCUUCGCCUCCCGGAUUCAAGCAAUUCUCCUGCCUCAGCCUCCCGAGUACCUGGACCACUGACUCUUAAUCUCUACUGCAAAUUCCAGGGAUAGAUAAUCUAAUGGCCUCAUUUGCAACUAGUAUAUAUAUAUACACACAUUCUCAAGGACAUGACUCCUGAAACUCUCCCCUCCCUCUCUUGCAUCUCAAUUUCCUAAAUCAUUCAUGUCAUUUUGUUUGUCAGCAAACAUGUUCUAGUAUCUUCCAACUUAAAGCAAGUAACGAACUACCCUUGGCCCCAUGCCUCUUUCCAUUUAACACCCAAUCUCUCUGCUCCUUUUUGUUGGCCUCAAACAUUUCAAGAGAAUUGUCUGUAUUGCUGUCUUCAUUUCCUCAUCCUUCCUUCUCUUCUCAGCCUUUCUAGUUGGAUUUGCAUUCUCCCAGUUCCACUAAAAUUUCUCUGGUUAAGAUCACAAUGACCUCCAUCUGCCACAUCUAUAUCCUCCUCUAACCCAGCCUUUCAGAAAUAUCCCAUAUGGUUGGCUAUUCCUUUCUUGAAGCAUUCUUUUCUCUUGGACUUGAGGAUACCCUGUAUACCAGAUGCUCUGGUGUGCUACCCAGAUCCCUGCUGCAGGACUAAGGAACUCAUUGCUCUGGCUGCCAGUAAUGUUGGUAGCUGACAGCUCAGGGCUAAGUCUAUCUCCAGAAAUUGCCCUCAGAUGGAGGAAGGUGACUUGACUAAACUUAUGCCCCCAUUGCAAGGAUAGCCUGCAUCCAAGGACUGGUUGGUACCGAGGUACGAGGUCCAGCUUCCCCAUCUCAGUUUGGGACCAUUGUAAAGGAUCAUGCCAGUUCCAGAGCUGCCUGUUGGGCAGGCUGAGGCUCCACUAUAAAGGGAUCACAUUUCAAGCCUCUCUCUCUGCCCAUCCUGCUCCCCUUACUUCCUUAUAGAUGCUGCUUCUGUGGCCUUCCCAAAUCUCUCUCUCAAACUUUGUUUCCAGGAACCUGCCCUAAGAUGCUGAAGUCUCCUGGGUUUCCUGCAGCCUCGUUUUUUGUUACCUGAAUGUCUCACAAGUUUAUUUAACUGAUUUUUUUUUUCUCUCUCAACAACCU
rnacentral:lncRNA from 13 species